GACGGCGCUUGGAGGGUGUGGCGUGGGGCGGGGCCGAGAGAGGCUUUCCCGAGAGGUUGGCACACAGGAAUGUUGUCCUCCGUGAAGAGCGGGUGGAGGGAUGUUUCCCAGAGAAGAGGGGUGUUGCUCUGGGGCUGAUGGAGGAGGAGAGAAAAAGCCAUCGCCCCAAAGCUGGAAAAGGAGGUUCCAUUGAGGAAGGGUUAGAAGAAGGUGGAGCAGUCGGGACUCAGAGAUGCUGCCCCUGAAAGUGAGAGUGGCUGAGUUGGGCGGAUCCCAGUGCCCUUUCUCCACACACACACACACACACACAGUGGGGAAGUUACUAAAAACCUCACCCAUUUCAUGGGGCUGCAUUUCAUCUUAGUUUAAAUAAAGCUCUAAGGCAGGACUGCACUUACAAACCUAAGUGUACUUUUCAUGCACAUAAAAAUUUAGUUCCUCCUGUCACAACCUCCUGUGUUCCCUCUGUAUCUUCUUGCCUUAGCCUCAAUUUUUAUGUUCUUACCACCAUGACAUGAAACCUACAGCACUUACUUGCUAAAUGUUGUGCAAUAAGUCUAUAUUUUGGAGUGUCUCAGUGCAAUCACAGCUUCUGAUUGCGACAGAAUAAGGUGUGGAAAAGACAUUGACAUGACUGAACUGAAGGGGAAAGGCCAGGAGAGGACAGAGAUUGAUCAGCACAGAGCAAGGAAGAUUGCAGAGUCAAGAAGAGAACCCAGGUUUCCUAAGUCCCAGUCUAGUGGUUUAUUCACUUGGCUAUGCUUCCUCUCUAAAGCAAUCUAGCAGAAGAUGAUUAAAGAACUAGAAAAUGAAGCCAUGGUGGCAGAUAAGAUCAUUCCAUGGCAGGGUAUAUAGAAAGAAGAGAGAACCAAGGACAGAGCUUUGAAGGAUGCCAUUGGAAAAAGAAAGAUCCUGCUUAGAAACGAAAGAGUGUUUGAGGAAGGAAUCAAAGGAAGAGAAAAAUCAUUGGUGUUUGUAGGCAUUUGAGUCAAUCGAGAUGAAGAAAUAAAGGAAAGAUGUAAAGGAAGAUGGCAGAAUGGAAUGGAGAAUACACGUGUAGUGGAGAAAUUCCAUUAAUUAUCAUAUUUAAGUUCAAUGUAUAUAAUUAUAAUUUUACAGUAGUAGCUAAUUAAAACAUCCACCGCUAUGGUAUUCUCCAGAUAGCACCCUUUUUACUUAAAAAACAAACACACACACAAAAUGAAUAAAAAUAAAUGUUUUCAGUAAAAGCAAAAUUAGGGAGACCACACAAACAAAACCACCAUGUGGGUAUUUUAUGAGGUGUUCUGUACCUCUCAGAAAGUGUCCCUCUUUAGGUCCAGGGUAGAAACAGGUGGAUGGGUAUUUUACAAGGGAUGACCAAUUCCCAUCAGAAUGUGCAGUUGUAGAUUGCUUUUGCCAGGAAUAAAAAUGACUGACUGGCUGGCACAUGCUCAAUUUAGGCAAACCACCCCUUGCCACACAUGGCAUAAAAGGCAGUAAGAUUUGUCAGCCAUAUUAGGUAUGGGCAAAUGUGGCCAUUUUAGUGGCCAUCUUAGUUAAGGUCAGGAAGCCCAUAGAAUUUUAUGGAUGACAGCCAUCAUAGUUAAGGGCAAUAAGGCCACACUGUAUGACCAUAUUGGAUGAGGGAAAUGGAAGGGAGGGCACAAUCACAUUUCUCUUCCUAGGCAAUUGGUGUUUAUUUGAGGCCAAUGGAAUGAAGUAGCAGUUGAGUCAUGUCCACACCUGCCUAACUUCCUGGCCUAAGUGUCUCAGGAUAUCAGAGUUUCUCAGGUCCUAAGGAUUGCCUCAAAAUCUCAGCAUCUUUUGCUGCAGUGGCCCCCAUGAAUUCCAAUUUAACUGUAAUCAUUCAGGGAAAAGAUCUUGGUGUUAUGAGCAACUCAGUGGAAAGAUCUGAUUAUUGAACAGUGGUGAUCAAAAAGGCAAACAAAUUAUUUGGAUGUGUAAUUAAGAGGUAUUCACACUGGAAGUUGUGAGCAUUUGUCUGGGAGUCAUAACCAUCCUGCCUUUCUCGAACUGCAAAAUGGGAGGGGGCUACGACUUGAUCCUAGCUAAAUGGGUGGGGUGCUGCUGACAUGCAGGUCCUGAUAUGGAAAAUUGACUUGCAGUAUAGAAAAGAUUCAGAACUCCUGGUGUAAGAAUGAUGUAGAAAAUAAUAUUAUAGUGCCAUUAUAUAAACCAAUAGUACACACUCACCUGGAACAAUGGUCAGCCAAUGUCAAGUAAGACACAGCAGAAACAGGGGGCUCCAGAUACCAACAAUUAAAUUGAAUAGCAACAUGGAGAGACUUCCUUAUGGAAAGAGAUGAAAAGAAUAGGAUUUAAAUUUAGAGAGGAGCUGGAUAAGGCCCCAAUCUCUCAAAUACUUACACGUGUUUAUUUUACAUCAGUGGGGCCUGCUUACUGUAUCUGAGAGUCUGCAUCUCUUCUAGUGUGCUGCUUUGGAAGCAAUGGUAACCAGUGGGUUCUAAAGAGACAGAUAGUAGGACAAUGUUUUCCAUUAGGGGCCCCUAAUUCUGGAACUCACUCCUCACCCUGGUUUAUCAGGUGCUGUUUUUUGUUUGUUAGUUUUGGUCUUGGUGGUUUUUUAAAUUUUGUUUUACUCUUCCACACAUACUGCAAGUUGCAUCUAGAUUUGCAAGUAUUUGAGGAGAGAUCGGUUUGAAAAAUGUGAUGAUUGUAUGCGGGAGGUUGUUUUGGUAAGGUAAUUUGGAAGUUUGUAGCAGAGCUGUGAAUUGACAGAUAUCUGCAUCCUAGUCCAAUACUUUUACAAGACCAACUUUCCUCAAACCCAAGCUAUACACUGCCAAACUGUCACAAAAGAAAGCAUUAUUGCAGGGUAACAGGCAAAUACAUUUCCUGUGAACCAUAUUACAGAUAAUCUGCAUGUUCAAACAAGAAUGUUUUGUUCACAAAAAUCUUCUGAUAUCCACUAGAGGGUUGGAGGGAGAUGUGGGCAAUCGAAAAUAUUUAAUAUGUGUGGAAAGUAUACUAUCUUUAUUGUAAAAAGUCUCCUUUUUGCUGCUAUGAUGCAGUGAUUGGAAACUUAAUCUUUUCUUAGGUAGCAGAAGUGCUUUCACAAAAUUAAUUAAUGAAGCGGAAACAGCAUUAUGACAUUUUGGUCACCCCCUCUGUCAUUGUUGAAAUGUUCCUGUUGCAGUAAUUAGUAGAGUAGCUAGUAUUAUCUGAAUGCAUGGUAAUUCAAGCCUUCAGAGUGUCUAUGGGUGCAAAUGAAGUAGUAGCAAAGCAUAUCAGUUCUGAAUUAUGCAAUGAUCCAGUCUGAAUCCCUGAAGAGCUUUUUGUCUGAGAGCUGUACAACACAGAUGCAUGGCCUACAAAUAUGUUCUGUAGUAGGCUGUCACUUUCUUUGCUGAUGCAUUGGAAAUAUAUGAUGAAAGAACAUGUCGCCAGAAUGCUGAUCUUUGGUUGGUUGCAGUGACAGAGAAAUAUUUACUAAUGGGUUAUUUGCUAUUUUAAUGGUUGGUGUUGACUGAUAAAGGGCCAGAUUUUACUUGGCGUUUGUGCAGAUAAGUAUGUGUUGGGGAAGUCAAGAAGCCUGUCACAAAUGCAGUACAUCGAAGGACUGGUCUACACUUAAAAGUUUCACCAGUACAGUUAUUGGUUAGGAGUGUAAUUUUUACCAACAUAAUUAUGCAAGUAAAAGCCCUAGUGUCUGUGGAUGCAAUUAUACCUGUAUAAAAAUGCCUUAUACUGGUAUGGCUUAUUACAUUUCCUGAAACUCAACAAGUUAUACUGGUAUAACUGCAUUCCCACUUUAAGUAUAUUGGCAUAGUUAAAUCAGCAAAACUUAGGUCCUUAGGGCAUGUCUACAUACCUUUGUUGUAUCAAUUUAACUAUAUCGGUUUAUAAAUUAUAACUAUAUCUAUUUACUGAAACAAUCUAUACUAAUAUAAACACCUUUAUAUUGAUAUAACUGCAUCCACACUACAGAUUGCAUUAUAUUUAAUUAUAUUAUUACUAAUUAUAUUGGUUUCCAAACAGUAAUAUAAAGCCAGCAUGACUGGUCUGAAAAUCCUGUUAGCAAUGAGGAAGAAGUGUUCGGCAUUACUCUGCUGAGGAGAGUGGACUUUCACACCUUCAUGCCUCACUGAAGUUGAGGCUUAAGGGCACAUGGCGUGCCAGCAUGGGACAAGAGAGUAGCUGCUACUGAGAAAUAACCAGUGUAGGUUUGAAUCCUAAAGUUGUAUAGAUCUGAGGAAGUCCAAUCCCAUCUGCUGUACAGGACAACUAAGCAAAAUGAUAAAAGCAGGGCAUCUAUUAUGUGUGAAAUGUUUGUAAUGAUAUGUACAAGUGUAGUUAGAGGAAACUAUUGUUGUAUAUAGAAAAAAUAAUAUUACUUCUUAAAAAA